GAGAGAGACAUGCGCGCAUAUCAAUAAGCGGAGGAAAAGAAACUAACAAGGAUUCCCCUAGUAACGGCGAGUGAAGCGGGAAGAGCUCAAAUUUGAAAUCUUAAAGGGUUUCCCUUUACGAAUUGUAGUUUAAAGAAGUGUUUUCUGUUGAGGUUUUGGUAAAAGUUCUUUGGAAUAGGACAUCAUAGGAGGGUGAGAAUCCCGUAUUUGACCUUUACUUUCAACUUUGUGAUACACUUUCAAAGAGUCGGAUUGUUUGGGAAUGCAGUCCAAAAUGGGUGGUAAAUUUCAUCUAAAGCUAAAUAUUGGCGAGAGACCGAUAGCGAACAAGUACCGUGAGGGAAAGAUGAAAAGAACUUUGAAAAGAGAGUUAAACAGUACGUGAAAUUGUCAAAAGGGAAGCGUUUGACACCAGUGUUGUUUUUCUGAAAAUCAAUUAAAGAACUGUUUAUGCUAAGCUGUUUAGACUUUAUCAGCUAUCUGUUUAGUUUUGAGCUUUUCUUUAAUGCACUUUUCAGUUAACAAGUCAACAUCAAUUUCUUUUGCUGUAAAAAAGCUUGAGGAAGGUGGCUUGAGAUUCGUCUUAAGUGUUUAUAGCCUCUUGCCUAUGCAGUCGGAGAGAUUGAGGUCUGCAGCGUAGAUCCUUCGGGGCUAAAUGCAUUUGUGCUAAGUUAUAGCAUUUUAUAGACAACUUGUUGACUAUGAUUUGUCUUGUAGCUUACUCGCUUAUGUUAUUUUACCUACGCUUAGGAUGUUGACGCAUGAGAUAUACGC
rnacentral:rRNA from 1 species